CCUACGGGGGGCAGCAGUGGGGAAUAUUGCUCAAUGGGCGCGAGCCUGAACCAGCCAAGUAGCGUGAAGGAUGACUGCCCUACGGGUUGUAAACUUCUUUUAUAAAGGAGUAAAGUGAGGCACGUGUGCCUUUUUGUAUGUACUUUAUGAAUAAGGAUCGGCUAACUCCGGGCCAGCAGCCGCGGUAAUACGGAGGAUCCGAGCGUUAUCCGGAUUUAUUGGGUGUAAAGGGAGCGUAGACGGGUUGUUAAGUCAGAUGUGAAAGUUUGCGGCUCAACCGUAAAAUUGCAAUUGAUACUGGCAGCCUUGAGUACAGUAGAGGUAGGCGGAAUUCGUGGUGUAGCGGUGAAAUGCUUAGAUAUCACGAAGAACUCCGAUUGCGAAGGCAGCUUACUAAACUGCCACUGACAUUGAUGCUCGAAAGUGUGGGUAUCAAACAGGAUUAGAUACCCGUGUAGUC
rnacentral:rRNA from 1 species